UACAGAGGUCUCGAGCGUUGUUCGGAUUCAUUGGGCGUAAAGGGUGCGUAGGCGGCGCGGUAAGUCGGGCGUGAAAUCUCGGGGCUUAACUCCGAAACUGCAUUCGAUACUGCCGUGCUUGAGGACUGGAGAGGAGACUGGAAUUUACGGUGUAGCGGUGAAAUGCGUAGAUAUCGUAAGGAAGACCAGUGGCGAAGGCGGGUCUCUGGACAGUUCCUGACGCUGAGGCACGAAGGCCAGGGGAGCAAACGGG
rnacentral:rRNA from 1 species